rnacentral:rRNA from 1 species
UGCAGUCGAGCGAACUGAUUAGAAGCUUGCUUCUAUGACGUUAGCGGCGGACGGGUGAGUAACACGUGGGCAACCUGCCUGUAAGACUGGGAUAACUUCGGGAAACCGAAGCUAAUACCGGAUAGGAUCUUCUCCUUCAUGGGAGAUGAUUGAAAGAUGGUUUCGGCUAUCACUUACAGAUGGGCCCGCGGUGCAUUAGCUAGUUGGUGAGGUAACGGCUCACCAAGGCAACGAUGCAUAGCCGACCUGAGAGGGUGAUCGGCCACACUGGGACUGAGACACGGCCCAGACUCCUACGGGAGGCAGCAGUAGGGAAUCUUCCGCAAUGGACGAAAGUCUGACGGAGCAACGCCGCGUGAGUGAUGAAGGCUUUCGGGUCGUAAAACUCUGUUGUUAGGGAAGAACAAGUACAAGAGUAACUGCUUGUACCUUGACGGUACCUAACCAGAAAGCCACGGCUAACUACGUGCCAGCAGCCGCGGUAAUACGUAGGUGGCAAGCGUUAUCCGGAAUUAUUGGGCGUAAAGCGCGCGCAGGCGGUUUCUUAAGUCUGAUGUGAAAGCCCACGGCUCAACCGUGGAGGGUCAUUGGAAACUGGGGAACUUGAGUGCAGAAGAGAAAAGCGGAAUUCCACGUGUAGCGGUGAAAUGCGUAGAGAUGUGGAGGAACACCAGUGGCUAAGGCGGCUUUUUGGUCUGUAACUGACGCUGAGGCGCGAAA